rnacentral:rRNA from 1 species
GAUGAACGCUAGCUACAGGCUUAACACAUGCAAGUCGAGGGGCAGCAUGAACAUAGCUUGCUAUGUUUGAUGGCGACCGGCGCACGGGUGCGUAACACGUAUCCAAUCUGCCCGUUACUCGGGGAUAGCCUUCUGAAAGGAAGAUUAAUACCCGAUGGCAUGUAUUUCCGGCAUCGGAGAUACAUUAAAGAUUUAUCGGUAACGGAUGAGGAUGCGUACGAUUAGCUUGUUGGCGGGGUAACGGCCCACCAAGGCUACGAUCGUUAGGGGUUCUGAGAGGAAGGUCCCCCACACUGGAACUGAGACACGGUCCAGACUCCUACGGGAGGCAGCAGUGAGGAAUAUUGGUCAAUGGGCGCGAGCCUGAACCAGCCAAGUAGCGUGAAGGAUGACUGCCCUACGGGUUGUAAACUUCUUUUGUUUGGGAAUAAAUGAUACUACGUGUAGGUGCUUGUAUGUACCGUAUGAAUAAGCAUCGGCUAACUCCGUGCCAG